rnacentral:rRNA from 1 species
GGUAACAAGGUUUCCGUUAGGUGAACCUUGAUCGGAAGGAUCAUUA